rfam:Streptomyces sp. NRRL F-6602 F6602contig1285.1, whole genome shotgun sequence.
CUUGACGGAACCGAGCAGCAACGGCCGCUCCUCGUCCCGGCCCUGCCCGUACGUCGCCAGAAGCGCCUGCGCCUC